UUAACCAAUUGAUGCCGAAUUGCCGCUAAUUCGAAAAUGAAAGUGUAAGUAAAAUGCGCACAACGCUUUUAAGCUAUUUAAAAGCGAAGGAAAACGAGCAAAAGAGGGAAAAUUCAAACGAAC